GCUCACACAAGAAGGGAGGAGAGAAAAGCAUGGCCGGGACUGAUGUGGAAAUGGUAAACUCAGUCUUCAGUCCACUCCAUGCACAUGUAUGGAGACUACUGAGGGAAACAAGAAGGACAGCGAUAAAACAUGAUCCUCCUGAAGAAGAGACGGCUGCUUAUCAAUUCAUUGGGUGAAGGAAAUGACUACAGAGCUGGAGGCAUUUGCUCACCGCCCAGAGCACAAGACCUCUGACAGCACCUUCCCGGUGUUCUUGUCUCAUGGUGUUCGGGAAGGCAUUUGUGGGAAGAAAUACUCUGAACAAGUCCGUGAUAUAUUACAACUCAAUGAAAUAUUUAAAAUGUUGAAUAGCAAGAACUGCCCAAGUUUGAAGGACAAACCCAAGGUGAUCAUCUUCGAGGCCUGCUGUGGUGAGAACCAUGGUGUGGUGUUGGUAAAAGAUUCAUUAUGAGUCUCUGAAAAUAUAUCUUUACCAACUCUGGGAGAUUUUGAGGAUGAUGCUAUUAAGAAAGCCCACAUAGAGAAGGAUUUUAUUGCUUUCUGCUCUUCCGCAUCAGGCAAGAGCCAGUCUUGAGAUGUGAAAUGUGCUUUAUCAACUGAUAAUGUUUCUUGGAGACAUCCCACAAAGGGCUCUGUUUUUAUUAUGAGACUCAUUGAACAUCUGCAAGAAUAUGCCUGUUCCUGUGAUGUGGAGGAAAUUUUCCGCAAGGUAGGGCUCUGGUGGAUGCUAUUUUCACUCUACUUCCCUGAAUGCUUGGCUAUUGCAAUUGGAAGCAUAGAAAGCAGAUCCAGACAUGUUUAUCCUCCAAUAAUACCCUUCUUUCCAAAAGAGUUUUGAAAUUCUUUGGAGAGUGAACAAGCCUGGGAGCCAAAUCCAAUCUAUUAAGACCCACAGGCUCAAUAAAACAAUCAUUUAUUUUCACCCUUCCCCUGACCUGCAGAGACAAAUGAGCGGACUCUAAUUCGCCUGUGUCUCCCUCAUGGCUAUUAGAGCCAACCGCAGAUUUAAAAAGCCCCAAGGAGGGUCAUUCAAUGCUUAGAUAAGCACAUGGCUAUACUUGUUGCAGACACAAGUACUUUUUGUUUUUGUCACUUAUUUUGCUAUAUUUGUUGUAGUCUUUUUGGCAUGAGUCAACAAACUUUUCAGAAAAACCGGUCUCCAGACUUUCCUUUCUCUUUCGGGUUCGACUUUCAUUUGAGCAGCCAGAUGAUAAAGCACAGAUGCCCAGCACUGAAAGGAUGACUUUGACAAGACGUUUCCACCUCUUUUCAGGACAUUAAAAUAAGGAAGCUGUAUGAAUAUCUGAGGGCAGGUAUGUGUGUGUGGUUGGGAGUGUGGGAAGGUUAAGGAAAGCGUACUGAAAGUCCAUUUUAGUCCAGGACUCUAGGUCUACAGGCCUAGAAUUUUUAAUCCAAAAAUUUAAAUUUUGAAAUGAUCUGAAAUCCAAAACUGUGUGAGAACCCACAUGAUAUUCAAAGGAAAUGCUUAUAGAAGCAUUUCAAAUUUUAGGAUUUUGGAAUAAGGAUGCUAAACCAGUAAAUAUAAUGCAGAUAUUCCAAUAUACAAAAAUAUCUGAAAUUCAAAAUAUUUCUGGUAGCAUGCGUUUUGGAUAAGGGAUAAUCAAUCCAUAGUAUAAUAUACAGAAAAUACUGAAGUAAUGCCUUUCUUCUGGUCACUGCAGAGCACGCUGCUCUUCUUCCAAAGUUUUUCUUUUAGACUCUUUCUGAGUGUCGGCUGAUAGGAACCUAGAAGUGGCCGUAAGACUAUGAACCCUCACUUUUAGAUAUUUCUCCCCUUCACCUCAGCAGGGUAACAUUUUAAAAUAGCAUGCAGUCUUUCCUUUUAAGAUUGUGUGUGUUCUCAUUGGUGGUAUAACUUUAUUACUUACAUUUCUUUUAGCAAAAUUCUCUUUUAUGUUUUUUUUAUCCCCCCCAUAGAUAACCAAGGCUUCCUUCAUUCUAUAAUGGUUUUUGGAAUUAUAUCUGUUUAAUAAUAGACUUUUUUGAAUAUUUUAAUAAAUUUGAU
rnacentral:lncRNA from 1 species